GGAAUAUUGGUCAAUGGGCGCAAGCCUGAACCAGCCAUGCCGCGUGAAGGAAUAAGGCCCUAUGGGUCGUAAACUUCUUUUGUGGUGGAGCAAUAAGGUGUACGUGUACACCGAUGAGAGUACAUCACGAAUAAGCAUCGGCUAACUCCGUGCCAGCAGCCGCGGUAAUACGGAGGAUGCGAGCGUUAUCCGGAUUUAUUGGGUUUAAAGGGUGCGUAGGCGGCUGUUCAAGUCAGCGGUGAAAUGCAAGGGCCCAACCCUUGACGUGCCGUUGAAACUGAGUGGCUAGAAUGCGGAUGCUGUGGGAGGAAUGUGUAGUGUAGCGGUGAAAUGCAUAGAUAUUACACAGAACACCGAUUGCGAAGGCAUCUCACAAAUCCGCGAUUGACGCUGAGGCACGAAAGUGCGGGGAUCAAACA
rnacentral:rRNA from 1 species